rnacentral:rRNA from 1 species
UACAGAGGGGGCAAGCGUUGUCCGGAUUUACUGGGCGUAAAGCGUCCGCAGGUGGCUGUGUAAGUCUGCUGUUAAAGAGUCAUGCUCAACAUGAUAAGAGCAGUGGAAACUACACGGCUAGAGUGCGUUCGGGGCAGAGGGAAUUCCUGGUGUAGCGGUGAAAUGCGUAGAGAUCAGGAAGAACACCGGUGGCGAAAGCGCUCUGCUAGGCCGCAACUGACACUGAGGGACGAAAGCUAGGGGAGCGAAUGGG